rnacentral:snoRNA from 1 species
AAGCAGGAUUCAAUACAGCUGUUAAGUGCUAUACCAUUGCUUCCCUUGCUCUAAAGUUUUCUCUUAACCAUACUCCCGUAGCAGCCAGGGACGCUUGGUCUCAUAAAU